AUCAUACUCCCUCCGUUCGGAAAUACUUGUCUUAGAAAUGAAUAAAAUAGCUGUAUCUAUAACUAAAAUAAGUCUAGAUACAUCCAUUUCUAUGACAAGUAUUUCCGGACGGAGGCAGUAUCUC
rfam:Hordeum vulgare subsp. vulgare, WGS project CAJW01000000 data, contig: morex_contig_134939